rnacentral:ncRNA from 1 species
CCAGAGUGGAGCUGCGGUUUAAUUUGAUUCACCCGGGAAAACUUACCAGGUCCGAACAUAAGUGUGUAAGACGGAUUGAUAGCUCUUUCUGGAAUCUAUGGGUGUGGUGCAUGGCCGUUCUUAGUUCGUGGAGUGAUUUGUCUGGUUAAUUCCGAUAACGAACGAGACUCAAAUAUAUUAAAUAGAUAUCUUCAGGAUUAUGGUGCUGAAGCUUAUGUAGCCUUCAUUCAUGGUGGCAGUAAAAUGUUUAUUGUGUUUGAAUGUGUUUAUGUAAGUGGAGCCGUACCUGUUGGUUUGUCCCAUUAUAAGGACACUAGCUUCUUAAAUGGACAAAUUGCGUCUAGCAAUAAUGAGAUUGAGCAAUAACAGGUCUGUGAUGCCCUUAGAUGUCCUGGGCUGCACGCGCGCUACAAUGAAAGUAUCAACGUGUAUUUCCUAGACCGAGAGGUCCGGGUAAACCGCUGAACCACUUUCAUGCUUGGGAUUGUGAACUGAAACUGUUCACAUGAACUUGGAAUUCCCAGUAAGUGUGAGUCAUUAACUCGCAUUGAUUACGUCCCUGCCCUUUGUACACACCGCCCGUCGCUACUACCGAUUGAAUUAUUUAGUGAGGUCUCCGGACGUGAUCACUGUGACGCCUUGCGUGUUACGGUUGUUUCGCAAAAGUUGACCGAACUUGAUUAUUUAGAGGAAGUAAAAGUCGUAACAAGGUUUCCGUAGGUGAACCUGCGGAAGGAUCAUUA